CUGCAUAUCAGUACAGAAAUAAACAAAACUGUAGACAAGACACUUUGGCAAAAGGGACCAAGUUUGAAGAGGAAAGGUUUCCAUAAAAUGUUAUUCAUCUCUACAGAAUCUGACAUCUGUAAAUGGCUUAACGGUUUUUUUUGGGGGGAGGGAGAAAUUCAGGUUAAUUCAAGUUAAAUAUCAGCUGAAAGUAAAGAACUGAUUGGUGAUAUCAACUUAAAGGGCCAAAGUUACACAAAUAUUCUAGAACAGUUGUGGAUGACGUACUAAUGAAGUGCAACAAAUUAGGCAAUAUAAAAUAAUUAAUACAAUUAAAAAAUUGUUUGCGUUUGUCG